GAUGAACGCUGGCGGCGUGCUUAACACAUGCAAGUCGAACGGUGAAGCAGGAGCUUGCUCUUGUGGAUCAGUGGCGAACGGGUGAGUAACACGUGAGCAACCUGCCCCUGACUCUGGGAUAAGCGCUGGAAACGGCGUCUAAUACUGGAUAUGUGAUGUGACCGCAUGGUCUGCAUCUGGAAAGAAUUUCGGUUGGGGAUGGGCUCGCGGCCUAUCAGCUUGUUGGUGAGGUAAUGGCUCACCAAGGCGUCGACGGGUAGCCGGCCUGAGAGGGUGACCGGCCACACUGGGACUGCGACACGGCCCAGACUCCUACGGGGGGCAGCAGUGGGGAAUAUUGCACAAUGGGCGGAAGCCUGAUGCAGCAACGCCGCGUGAGGGAUGACGGCCUUCGGGUUGUAAACCUCUUUUAGCAGGGAAGAAGCGAAGGUGACGGUACCUGCAGAAAAAGCACCGGCUAACUACGUGCCAGCCGCCGCGGUAA
rnacentral:rRNA from 1 species